rnacentral:rRNA from 1 species
GCAAGUCGAGCGGUAACAGGGGCGCUUGCGCCCGCUGACGAGUGGCGGACGGGUGAGUAAUGCAUAGGAAUCUGUCCUUUCGAGGGGGAUAGCUCUGGGAAACUAGAGGUAAUACCGCGUACAACCUACGGGUUAAAGGUGGCGCAAGCUGCCGCGAAAGGGUGAGCCUAUGUUAGAUUAGCUAGAUGGUGAGGUAAAAGCUCACCUAGGCUUCGAUCCAUAGCUGGUCUGAGAGGAUGAUC